UACGAAGGGUGCAAGCGUUAAUCGGAAUUACUGGGCGUAAAGCGUGCGUAGGCGGUUCGUUAAGUCUGUCGUGAAAGCCCUGGGCUCAACCUGGGAAUGGCGAUGGAUACUGGCGAGCUAGAGUGCGGUAGAGGAUGGCGGAAUUCCCGGUGUAGCGGUGAAAUGCGUAGAGAUCGGGAGGAACAUCCGUGGCGAAGGCGGCCAUCUGGACCAGCACUGACGCUCAGGCACGAAAGCGUGGGGAGCAAACAGGAUUAGAAACCCCCGUAGUCC
rnacentral:rRNA from 1 species